CACCAUGGCCGGCUAAUUUUUUUCUAUUAUUAGUAGAGACAGGGGUCUCGCUCUUGUUCAGGCUGGUUUCAAAUUCCUGAGCUCAAGUGAACCUCCGUCCUUGCCCUCCCAGAGAGCUGGGAUUACAGGCAUGAGCCACUGCGUCCAGCCCAGAGCAGUGUUUUAAUUGUAGAAAUUUUUUGAAAGAUGGGGAAUGUAGAUAUUUCUGCACUUUUGUGUUAUGAUUGGACAGCUGCAGCAGAGAAUUGGACUUAGCUGUGACAGCCUGACAGUAUCCUUUGUCCAGUAGUAAGUAGCUGUUUCUGUCGUUUAAAUAGUGAGGGAUAGAAGUCCAUGAACUGUCAAACUCUAACCUGUCCUUGACUUCAGGGAACGAUGACAUCAGUUGGAAUUUGGCAUUGGAGGUUGUUUGCAGCUAAUGAAACUUUUCUGUUAUUAAGAUCAACAUUUGAGACUGGCGUUCCAAGAAUUCUCCAAAGCCUGUUCACAUGCAGUUUGAAGAGCCCUUUGAACAUCAAAUGGCUCUCACAAAAGAAGGCUUUUUAUCAACUGAAUGUGAAGGGGAACAUGAUUCAAAGGAAAAGAAUCCCACCACGGGCUUUUUCUGAGCUCCUAAAGGAAAGUGGAACUCAGCACUUGGAGAAGUGACUGUCACCUUGGAAUCUAACCAAACCCCAGAGCCUGGAGGACUCGGUAUGAUUUGUGGAAGUUGUCACCCCUGUAGAGACAUGAUAAGGCCCUAUUUACUACUUUAAUGUCAUCUUCAAAAAUGUUGAGGUUCACCUAACAUGUUGUCUUGUCAUUAGGGUUGCCAGAUUUAGCAAACAAAAGCAAAAAGCAAGGAUUCCCAGUUAAAUCUGAGCUUCAGACAAAAGACGAAUAAUUUUCAAUACUCAGAAUGGAUUUCUAAGGAAAAAUUUUUUUUCUGUUCCUGACUCUAUAUUUUCUGAUUUAUGUUCUAAAGAAUACUAGUGUGUGUGGGAUGUCAGUAGGUGCUCCAUAAAAGAGUUCUGUGGACAAAUCAAUUUGAGACUCUCUGGCUAAAGAAAGCCACCUGGUUUUGCCUGUGUGCGCAUAGGUGCGUGCUUAAACAGCAGAACAUGUCAGAACCUUGCCUUGUCGGUAUCUUGUCAAUAUACAUUGGACUCUUGAGGGAGUCAGUGGUGCAGUGCUUGCCAAACUGAUUUGACCAUGGAGCUUCCAAAGAACCUAGUCUGGGAAACAAUAUUCUGGAUAGAUGGCUCUAUUUUCCUUAUGGAAUGUUUUUACAGAAAAAUUACUUUAUCAUAUUUUUUCAUAACCUUAGGCUGUUUAUAUUUGUAAUAUUGCCAAUGUUUUGAAUAAAAGCAAAGAAUUUGCAAAAAUACAGGGAAGAUUUUUUUUUGGAUAGCUCCAGGGAUAAGAAGGAAGCACAUUAAU
rnacentral:lncRNA from 1 species